UGAGUGGCUGUCAAAAGUAACAGCAUCUCCACUGGAAGUCAGCGUAGUCCACAUGGAGUUGCUGUUACAUUUGAAAGUACUGCUGG
rnacentral:pre_miRNA from 1 species